UAUCCAAUCAUAUUUCAGCAAUCGUGUUGCCAGGGUCAAAGAAAUCUGCCUUAAGGCCUUCAGAAUCCACAGUGCAGGCGUCUGUUAGCUUAAAUCAAUGGCAAUGAAACCGUUGCUUUAACCAAUCAGAUUUCGAGUUGGCAACACCAGGGCCAUCUAGCUGGCUAACGAUAACGUCAGCAUUUUCUCCUCCUUUGAUUGGAUGGUCAGCAUACUAGCUAGCCAACAGCAUCACUGUAAAUCGUUUUAUUAAAACUUAGUAAAACUUUUAUUACUGUUCCUCAGGUUUACAUUUUCAGU